UUUCUCCCCCGUGUCUCCUCGCCUCUCCCUCUGUGUGUGUGCUCUCUCCCUCUCCGCCCUGGAGCCCGGCUGAUGACCCGCACCUGUGUCUCAUCAAUCUUCACCUCCGCCCGCCGCACCUGCCUGCCAUCAGUUUCAUCUUCAACAGUAUUUCUACCCCGGUUCUCCACUCCAUCUUCGCUUGAUCGUCGUCGCUCCAGUCCUGGUGCCACUGCUUCGUUCAAAGCUCUCCUGUUUCUUGUUCCUAACCUGUUGUCUCCCGAGACUAACCCUGUCCUUUCUUUCUCCCCGCCAGGUCCACUCACCUCCGCCAUCCAGUCAGUCAGCCGGGCUCGCCUACCUGCCUUCUCCCCUCGCCUCUGCAGCGUCCCCCCGGCUUCCCUCCACGCUCCUCACCUCCCUCGCCUCGGCCUCCAGCCCCCUCUCAGUUGCCUCGCUUGAGCCUUGCCAGCCCCGCCUGCUCCUCGGUCCUCCGCGCCCUCGUCUGCUGGCGUCCCUGCUCACCUCAUCCCACCUCCCGACUCCCCUCUUCCCUUUUUCCCCCCUCAAUAAAUUUCUUUUGGUCACCUGCAGAUUUGGAGUCUUUCAUAGCCCUGUGCUUCUCACAAGUAUACGCUGAUUGGACCAUGCUGGUUGGCCUGGAUUACAACCACCAUGUCCACAGUCCAGCCAGGACAAAAGCUGAUGACAGAGUUCAGUACAGCCAAUCGGGAAGCUUCCGGGUCUACAAUAUGAAGCGAAUGCAGAAGUCCCUGAAACCUGCAUUCUAUUGAAAAUCCAG